AAGCGCGUGCGCGGUGACGCGGGAAAUGGCGGUUGGCCGUCCACCCGCGAGCGCUGAGGCGCCGCCGUGUGUGUCGACGACGGCUCCACCACGCUUCACAACCUGUUGUUGUCAUCUGCUGGAGUUUUGCAUCAUGAAAAUCUAUGAUAUUUGUGAUCGAGGAAUUCCCACAAUUUGUCUAAAGGAGGGUCUCUAUCCAAAAGUCAGAGCCCAUCUUCCUUCACAGAUGCGACUGGCUCACUGAGUUCCUCCAGCAGCUGCAUCAAGAUUUCAGCAUCUGUUCCACAAUUAUACCAGGAAAACAAAAGAGCUCAUUGUCGACUUCAGGAGGCACACCACCGACUUAGCCCCCCUACACAUCAACGGCGAGUGUGUGGAGAGGGUCAACACCUUCCGGUUUCUCGGCGUCCAUAUCGCUGCUGACAUCUCCUGGACGGACAACACGACAGCGGUCAUCAAGAAGGCUCAGCAGCGGCUGCACUUCCUGAGGGUCCUCAGGAAGCACAACCUGGACUCUAACCUGCUGCUGACCUUCUACCGCUCGUCCAUCGAGAGCCUGCUGACAUACUGCAUUACAGCAUGGUAUGGCAGCUGCACCAUGGCAGACAGGAAGAGGCUUCAGAGGGUAACCAGGACAGCGCAGAGGAUCAUUGGCUGCCCUCUCCCCUCCCUGAUGGACAUCUACACCUCCCGCUGCCUUAGCAGGGCAAAGAAGAUCAUCAAAGACAGCUCCCAUCCUGCGUUUGGACUGUUCGACCUGCUGCCCUCUGGAAGGCGCUAUAGGUGCAUCAAAUCCAGGACAAACAGACUCAGGAAUAGUUGCUUUCCGAGAAUUAUAUCUACUAUAAAUUCAAAUUCACACAUGCACUGACUACACCGCCCAACACGGACUUCCAUCUGUAUAUAUGUAUAUAUGUAUGUAGCGCCGCAGAAUUUGUGCACCUAUUCCCCCCCUCCCCCCACCAUCUCCCUUCUGUUUUUUUGUUUUUUCUGUUUCUUGUUUUUUGUGCUAAAUUGUAUGUAUGCACUGAGUACGAGCAGCUUUCAGUUUCACUGUACAUGUAUAGUGACAAUAAAUGGCAUAUCUAUCUUUUGGUGGUAGAAAAUCAUUGAUGAAACAAUUGAAAACAAUUGGAUGAUUAGGAUUAAACUCCAAAGGGAUCAAUGGAAAUAGUUGGUGCCAGGUCAGAUUAGUUUCCCCUCUCAUCUCAUAACUAAACUAAUGUAAUGGGGCCACAGCGGUAGAGUUGCAUCUUUACAGCACCAGAGACCCGGGUUUGAUCCUGACUAUUGGUGCUGUAUGGAAUUUGUGCAUUCCCCUUGUGAAUGCUUGGUUUUUAUCUGGGUGUUCUGGUUUCCUCCCAGAU